AUGCCAUGGCGUGGGUACUCCCUCUAAAUAUCUUUAUACAUUUCCCAUGCAUCAUAGAGUGAUUCAUUGUCUUUCGGUCUAAAGGUGUAGAGUUCAACUCUAAGUUU